AAAUCAGAUGAAGGAGCAAAUAAGAAAUGGUUGAUUUGCUUUUGCUGCGGCUCUUUCUGAACCCACUGGGUUAUUUAUUCCAGCUAUUAAGCCUG